rnacentral:rRNA from 1 species
CAGUAGCCGCGGGAAUACAGAGGGUGCGAGCGUUAAUCGGAUUUACUGGGCGUAAAGCGUGCGUAGGCGGCUUCUUAAGUCGGAUGUGAAAUCCCUGAGCUUAACUUAGGAAUUGCAUUCGAUACUGGGAAGCUAGAGUAUGGGAGAGGAUGGUAGAAUUCCAGGUGUAGCGGUGAAAUGCGUAGAGAUCUGGAGGAAUACCGAUGGCGAAGGCAGCCAUCAGGCCUAAUACUGACGCUGAGGUACGAAAGCAUGGGGAGCAAACAGGAUUAGAUACCCCAGUAGUCCCUGUCUCUUAUAC